rnacentral:rRNA from 12 species
CAUUGUCGAAUCCUGCCAAGCAGAAUGACCAGAGAA